rnacentral:misc_RNA from 1 species
AACGCACCUUGCACCCUUUGGCAUUCCGAAGGGUAUGCCUGUUUGAGUGUCUUGAACCACUCAAAUCAUAGUAUUUGGUCCUGAGCACUGCCAGUUUAAAUGCCACUGGCUUGCUUCAAAUGGAUUAGCUGGGCCAUUACAGUCUCGCAAGCGUAGUAAUUUUCGCUUGGGCUGCACAGUACUUGGCUCGCUUAUUAAAACACACCCCCAUUUUCAUCAGACCUCAAAUCAGGUAGGACUACCCGCUGAACUUAA